GUGUUCAUUUCGGCAGCACGGACGGUAAAAUUGCAACGAUACAGAAAAGAUUAGCAGGGCCCUGUGCAAGGAUGACAUGCACAUUCCUGGAGCGUUCCAUAUUUAA